UACAGAGGGGGCAAGCGUUGUUCGGAAUUACUGGGCGUAAAGGGCGCGUAGGCGGCCUUCUACGUCGAACGUGAAAUCCCCGGGCUCAACCCGGGAACUGCGUCCGAUACUGGAAGGCUUGAAUCCGGGAGAGGGAUGUGGAAUUCCAGGUGUAGCGGUGAAAUGCGUAGAUAUCUGGAGGAACACCGGUGGCGAAGGCGACAUCCUGGACCGGUAUUGACGCUGAGGCGCGAAAGCCAGGGGAGCAAACGGG
rnacentral:rRNA from 1 species